rnacentral:rRNA from 1 species
UACAGAGGGUGCGAGCGUUGUCCGGAAUCACUGGGCGUAAAGGGCGCGUAGGUGGUGGCUUAAGCGUGCGGUGAAAGCUCGGGGCUCAACUCCGAGUCGGCCGUGCGAACUGGGCUCACUGGAGCAUAGUAGAGGCAGGUGGAAUUCCGGGUGUAGCGGUGGAAUGCGUAGAGAUCCGGAAGAACACCGGUGGCGAAGGCGGCCUGCUGGGCUAUGGCUGACACUGAGGCGCGACAGCGAGGGGAGCAAACAGG